rnacentral:rRNA from 1 species
UACGGAGGGUGCAAGCGUUAAUCGGAAUUACUGGGCGUAAAGCGCACGCAGGUGGCUGAGUCAGUCGAUUGUGAAAGCCCUGGGCUUAACCUGGGAAUUGCAGUCGAUACUACUCAGCUAGAGUAUGGGAGAGGGUAGUGGAAUUCCCGGUGUAGCGGUGAAAUGCGUAGAUAUCGGGAGGAACAUCAGUGGCGAAGGCGGCCUUCUGGCCCAGUACUGACACUCAAGUGCGAAAGCGUGGGGAGCAAACAGG